GACCAGGCCAGUACGUGAGCGCAGGCCCAAGAUCGAAAAGGGAAAGUCCUGAACGCUCUCUUCCCCCUGUCUUUUCGGCGGGGCUUUGAGAGUUUGCGGGGUGUCCUGAGUGUUUGGGCCACAGGGAUUCUCGCGUCCGGGAGAUUCCAGGAGCUGUAGGGGGUGACAUGCGAGUAAGAGGAGCGACAAACGUCUGCGGCCCUGAGUUUCUGAAGGACAUAGAUGUACCAGCUACAGCUCACAGAGAAAAGAGAUUUAGACAUGUGCUACUCCAAGCACAGUCCACAGGCAUCUGCGUGGGCCUCCCUUGGGGGAGUGUUGAAAAGAGAGGAUCUCAGAUUCACGCCCCACCCCCAAACACCAGAACUGACAUGGCACCACAUACUCCACGUGACUCACAAGCACUUCCACCUUUAGGAAGACUGAUGAAGACAAAAGCCCAGAAAGCUGUCUGCAAAGCCUGGAAAGGAGGUGUGCAUGUGCCCCAAUCAGAGGCCGUCAUUUGGCUCAGCACCACAGAAAACAGAUUAGUCCGUUUUCACGCUGCUCAUAAAGACAUGCCCAAGACUGGGAAGAAAAAGAGGUUUCAUUGGACUUACAGUUCCACAUAA
rnacentral:lncRNA from 10 species